UACGGGGGGAGCAAGCGUUGUUCGGAUUUACUGGGCGUAAAGGGCGCGUAGGCGGUCAGCACAAGUCAGUUGUGAAAUCUCCGGGCUUAACUCGGAAAGGUCAACUGAUACUGUGCGACUAGAGUGCAGAAGGGGCAACUGGAAUUCUCGGUGUAGCGGUGAAAUGCGUAGAUAUCGAGAGGAACACCUGCGGCGAAGGCGGGUUGCUGGGCUGACACUGACGCUGAUGCGCGAAGCCAGGGGAGCGAACGGG
rnacentral:rRNA from 1 species